rnacentral:rRNA from 1 species
GUAUCCUGGCUCAGGACGAACGCUGGCGGCGCGCCUAACACAUGCAAGUCGAACGAGAGAUGAAGAGCUUGCUCUUCAAAUCGAGUGGCGAACGGGUGAGUAACGCGUGAGGAACCUGCCUCAAAGAGGGGGACAACAGUUGGAAACGACUGCUAAUACCGCAUAAGCCCACAGCUCGGCAUCGAGCAAAGGGAAAGGAGUGAUCCGCUUUGAGAUGGCCUCGCGUCCGAUUAG